rnacentral:rRNA from 1 species
CUUGGUCAUUUAGAGGAAGUAAAAGUCGUAACAAGGUUUCCGUAGGUGAACCUGCGGAAGGAUCAUUAUCGAAAUUAUUGGUGAGGGUUGUAGCUGGCCUUUCGAGGCAUGUGCACGCUCGAGCCCUUAAUCCACUUUACACCUGUGCACUUAAUGUAGGUCGCCCUUAAAAAAGGUGACCUAUGUCUUAUCAUCAACCCAUCGUAUGUCUCACAGAAUGUAAUCGAUAUCCUCGCCCUAAAAAAGCGUUGAUAAACUUAUACAACUUUCAACAACGGAUCUCUUGGCUCUCGCAUCGAUGAAGAACGCAGCGAAAUGCGAUAAGUAAUGUGAAUUGCAGAUUUUCAGUGAAUCAUCGAAUCUUUGAACGCACCUUGCGCUCCUUGGUAUUCCGAGGAGCAUGCCUGUUUGAGUGUCAUUAAAUUCUCAACUCCAAGGGUUUCACGACCUUUCGGAGAUUGGACUUGGAGGUGCUGGCCGCAUAUUGGUCGGCUCCUCUCAAAUGCAUCAGCGGAAUUCAACCUUUGGCUUCCGGAUGUCAGUGUGAUAAUCAUGUUGCGCUGUCGUUUGAUCCCUCAGAGUCCGCUUAUAAUGGUCUUCGGACAAAAUCAUCAUCAAAUUUGACCUCAAAUCAGGUAGGACUACCCGCUGAACUUAAGCAUAUCAAUAAGCGGAGGA